CAAGUGAGGCCAUUGCUUUAUGCUUUUUCUUUAUAGACUUUAUUGGAAAUACUAUGCAUCAUUUUCUCCCUAACAUUCAAUGAUUUGUUCUCUCUCUUCUAAUUUUCAGUUUUUCAUUUUUGAAGCUAAUUGUUUUCUUGAGAGUACUCAAAAACACAGAGUAACAAAGCAACUAUAUCAGAAUUUUCAUCAAGUGAUAAGAUCCUGAGAUCUUGAAAGGAAGAAAACUUGAAAGGCACUUACAGUCAUGGAGAAUGGAGGACAAA